AUAUCAAUAAGCGGAGGAAAAGAAACCAACAGGGAUUGCCCUAGUAACGGCGAGUGAAGCGGCAACAGCUCAAAUUUGAAAUCUGGCCCUAGCGGUCCGAGUUGUAAUUUGUAGAGGAUGCUUUUGGCGCGGUGCCUUCCGAGUUCCCUGGAACGGGACGCCUUAGAGGGUGAGAGCCCCGUACGGUUGGACACCAAGCCUCUGUAAAGCUCCUUCGACGAGUCGAGUAGUUUGGGAAUGCUGCUCUAAAUGGGAGGUAAAUUUCUUCUAAAGCUAAAUACCGGCCAGAGACCGAUAGCGCACAAGUAGAGUGAUCGAAAGAUGAAAAGCACUUUGAAAAGAGGGUUAAAUAGCACGUGAAAUUGUUGAAAGGGAAGCGUUUGCGACCAGACCUUUUCCUAGCGGAUCAUCCGGUGUUUUCACCGGUGCACUUCGCUAGGUUUAGGCCAGCAUCGGUUUCUGUGGGGGGAUAAAAGCUCGGGGAACGUGGCUCCCUCGGGAGUGUUAUAGCCCCUUGCAUAAUACCCUCACGGGGACCGAGGACCGCGCUUUUGCAAGGAUGCUGGCAUAAUGGUCGUCAACGACCCGUCUUGAAACACGGACCAAGGAGUCGAACAUUUGUGCGAGUGUUUGGGUGUUAAACCCUCACGCGUAAUGAAAGUGAACGGAGGUGAGAGCCCUUACGGGUGCAUCAUCGACCGAUCCUGAUGUCUUCGGAUGGAUUUGAGUAAGAGCAUAACUGUUCGGACCCGAAAGAUGGUGAACUAUGCGUGGAUAGGGUGAAGCCAGAGGAAACUCUGGUGGAGGCUCGCAGCGGUUCUGACGUGCAAAUCGAUCGUCAAAUCUGCGCAUGGGGGCGAAAGACUAAUCGAAC
rnacentral:rRNA from 1 species